rnacentral:rRNA from 1 species
GAUGAAGAGUGCAGCAAACUGCGGGAAUUGACGGUGAAAUGCAGAAUGCUCCGAACAUCGAUACCUUGAACGCAACUGGCGGCCAUGGGCUUGCUCAUGGCCACGUUUGUCUGAGAGUCGGCACAUAUCUAUCGCAACGCUCGAAUGGUUGCGGA